GGCGGCGUACCCAAGUGGACUAAGGGGGCGGAUUGCAAAUCCGUUAACGUGGGUUCGAAUCCCACCGCCGCCU
rnacentral:tRNA from 1 species